rnacentral:rRNA from 1 species
UACGGGGGGGGCAAGCGUUGUUCGGAAUUACUGGGCGUAAAGGGCUCGUAGGCGGCCAACUAAGUCAGACGUGAAAUCCCCAGGCUCAACCUGGGAACUGCGUCUGAUACUGAUUGGCUUGAAUCCGGGAGAGGGAUGCAGAAUUCCAGGCGUAGCGGUGAAAUGCGUAGAUAUCUGGAGGAAUACCGGUGGCGAAGGCGGCAUCCUGGACCGGCAUUGACGCUGAGGAGCGAAAGCCAGGGGAGCAAACGGG